GUCGUAUAAAGAUGUAUUAGAUGCAAGACAAUCUAGCAUUUCCCUUUACGACAUUGUAAUCAAAUUAGAAGUUCAAACAACAGAAAUUGUUGAAGGGUUAAGAAUUGAAACGAUUUGAGUUUGGAUGGAAGAGGUUAGCCGUAUGACUUUGUGUUGAAAAACACUAAAAACAAUCUCGAAUGGCAAUUUCUAAAAUUUCGUUAUUUUGAGUUACGGCUUU
ncrna:unclassified sequences IS605-orfB-I RNA